CCAAUAGCGUAUAUUAAAGUUGUUGCAGUUAAAAAGCUCGUAGUUGAAUUUCGGAACCGAUGGAUCGGUCAUGCCAAUCGGUGUGUACUGGUUUGAUUGGUUCUCACCUUCUAAGGAACCGUGAUGUCAUUAAUUUGGUGUCGCGAGAAAUUAGGACUGUUACCUUGAAAAAAUUAGAGUGUUUAAAGCAAGCUCACGCUUGAAUACAUUAGCAUGGAAUAAUGAAAUAGGACAUUGUAUUCUAUUUUGUUGGUUUCUAGGAUCGAUGUAAUGAUUAAUAGGGAUAGUUGGGGGCAUUAGUAUUCAAUUGUCAGAGGUGAAAUUCUUGGAUUUAUUGAAGACUAACUACUGCGAAAGCAUUUGCCAAGGAUGUUUUCAUUAAUCAAGAACGAAAGUUAGGGGAUCGAAGACGAUCAGAUACCGUCGUAGUCUUAACCAUAAACUAUGCCGACUAGGGAUCGGAUGAUGUUAAUUUUUUAAUGACUCAUUCGGCACCUUACG
rnacentral:rRNA from 1 species